CUCAGGGCUAAUCUUCCUCAAAAAAAAAAAAAAGACAGGAGGUUCAUUUUAGAAACAAUAGAAAACCAAGCUGAAAUGAUAGGGUAGAACUGUUGAUAGAGGGCCUGAAUUCGAGCCUGAGAAAUUUGACUUGAUCUAAUAGAUCAUUCUGGGCGGAUUUGGCAGGGGGAGAGGGGUGAAGACAAGACAGGAGACUAUAACCUUGUCGGGUUCUGAAGUAGCAAGUGGGAUUUAAAAGGAAGUACUAGACAUAAAUGCCACUGAGGAAAAGACUUAGAGGGUUCCGUGAGUAUAUAGAGGGUUCAAAGAAGAGCAAGAAGUCCAAGAUGAUGUUAGGAUUGUGGCUAGAGUUGAUAAUGGUACACAUAGACCUUGACACCUUAGAGUUGGAAGAUGGUCAGCACUCAAAAGGUACAAUUGCUGGAGAAAGGAGCAAGAAAUUUUUGCAGGGUAACCCUCCUAUUCAUCAUGUCCCCAAUCAAGAAAACUUUAGUUUGCUACUCAAAUUGAAUUAGAAGGUAAGAAAGCAAGCUUUCACCCUGUCAUGGGCCCUGUGCUGGUGUUUUUAUGGUCGACCUAUUUUUAUUUCCGUUUCAGCCCUACUAAUGUAAAAAUGCUCAGUGGUGCAGUAUAUAAUGUUACAGUGGAAAUAAAUCAAUAAGUGUUUGUUAAAUACGUACCAAAUGCUGCUCAGCACUCUGCUAGGCCUAGAGGGCUGGAAAAGUAUAAAAAGGGCCUCUGCCUUUCAAAAACUUACAAUCUGGUUGGAGAAAAAAGGUCAACACACCUGACCCAGCGGAGAAUAAAUUCCAUGGGCAAUCUGUGUGGACUGUAAAGUGUGCUUAUUUAGAAAUAGUGGAGAAUAGAGCUGAGUGGAUUGGAAAUAAUAUAAUCUAUAGUGUUCAUCAGUCAACAAAUUUUCUUUAAUGUUUAAGCACUAGUCUAGGUUCUGGAGGUAAAAUAAAAACUUUCUUCUCUCAUUGAGCUUGAUUUCCACUUGGGAGAGACAGAGAGGAACAAAUAAAUACAAAACUAUUAAAUAGUAAUAACUGUUCUGAAGAAAAUAAAAUGUGAAGGUGUCAAAAUGAGUGUCUGGAAAGUAGGUUAGAUGUUUCUGAGGAACAUUUAAACAAUGACUUGAAUGAAAGAAACAAGCAAUCAUGGAACCAUCUGGAGAAGAGCGGUUCAGGCAGAGAGUAAAAGUACAGAGCCCUAAGGAGGGGUCAAGCUUACUGUGUUUGAGACCAGAAAAGGCCAAGUGUUUCUGGAGUGUAGAGAGCCAGGAGGAAAGUGAAGGAGAUGAAACAGGGAAGGUAAGUAAGGCCUUGUAGGUAAGAAGGGAUUUUGAGGUCAAGUUAAAGUAUGGAUAUUUGGAAGAUUAGUCACUCUGGCAUUCUGGAUUAGAGGAGGAAGAGAUUAGGACCUGGAAGACCAGAUGGAAGCCUGCGUGAUAAUCCGGGCAGGAGGUGAUGUGAGGUAGACGAGGUUGGUGGCAAGGUUAGCAAGGAAGACAAAAAUGUCAAGCAGAUGAAGUGUUGGGUAUUUGUGAGGGGUGGUCAGUGGUGGGGAAAGCCCACAGUAUCAAAUGCAGCAAAAAGGUCAAAGAGAAUAAGCUUUAAAUAAAAGCUAGUAUAAUUAACAAGAAAGAUGUCAUGUGUCAAUUCCAAGAGAAGAGUUUUCAUAAGGUGGGGUGGUAAGAAGUGAGGAAAUGAAGGCAGUGACCUUUGUAAGAAUCAGGACAACUCAAAAGGUAAAAAGCAUAUGUACAUUUUAGUUACCUUUUAAAGCUAUUUACGUUUGGGAUACUAUUAAAUCUUUAAAUCCAGGUAAACAUUCCCAGCCAGGUCUAAUUAUGUCACCAUACUGAAGGGAAAACAAACUUUUACCACAGAAACAUAUCUUAUAUGUUUUUCUGGGCCAAAAAUCAGUUCAUCAAUGACUCCCUGCUCUAAAUGUCUUCAGAGAAAGUUCACUCUUACUCCUGGGAUAUGCAAGAAUCUAACAGCAGAAACAUUACAGCAGAUGCAGUACCAUGUCAGUUUUGAUUCCAUUACUGCCACCUGUCCGGUCUAAACCAUGUUGGCUGUGGGUAUAACCUUGAGCACGUCACACAACCUCGCUGAACUCCAGGUUUUCAUUAGUAAGGAAGAGGAAUCUCUCAGAUUUUAGGUUUACAGGCAUACAGGUUAGCACGUCUGUUGAAGAGAAACAAAUCCCAUUCUGUGAGAUCCACAUGAACAGCUUUCAUGACUCCAAGAGGGACUUUGGCAAAGUCUUUCCAAAAAGACAACUUGGUUGAACUAGAUGUUCUAUUGUUCAGCAAAUUGCAAGACAAUUAAUUAGUACUUUUCUUCCCUGGAAACAGACUAGGCUAGUUUGGCAGUCAGAAUGAAAGGGGAAACUUAAGUCUCCUCUAUUUGUAGCUAUGCAGCUUGAGCAUCUUGAGGAAAUCAAGCCUGACUCUGGCCAAGUUGUGUCCACACAUGCAGCACAUGCUUGUGCAUGUCUUCUCUCGAUUGUCUGAUACAGUUUUCCUUCCAAAGAAUAACAACUGACAAGCACGAAGUCUCAGUAACAAUCUGAGGGGAAAUAAAGAAUGAAAUGACCCUAUUUCAGAGAUUGGAGGAGAAGCAAACGUGAUGUUUUCCUUUAUUGCUUUUUCUCCAAGUCAAGUACAAGAGCAAUUGGCAAAAGAGGAAGAAAACCUGAGAAGAAAGUAAGGAGCCUCGACAAAGGCCCUGAUCUAAUGUGAUUCUCCACACAGGUUUUGGUAGUGCUGCAUUCGUCCUUACAAGGCAUGGUGGGAUAUUUGUCCAACUUCCCAGGACCAUAGGGCAAAAUGGACACCCUUGUGUAUAGAAGAGGUGACUUAAAAAAACACUGACUUUCCUUUAUGAA